rnacentral:misc_RNA from 1 species
AUGAGUUUGGGUCUUUCGGGGCCCCGUCUCCCAACCCUAUGUUUAUCCAACCCUCUGUUGCUUCGGCGUGCCCGUCUUCGGACCGCCGGGGGGCCGUGAAACGCCCUCUGGCCAGUGCCUGCCGGUAGCCCAAUUUACAAACACUGGAAACGAACCGUGUCAUUGUCUGAGUAAAACCUUUUUUAAUAAAGCAA